rnacentral:rRNA from 1 species
AAUAUUGGACAAUGGGCGCAAGCCUGAUCCAGCCAUGCCGCGUGAGUGAUGAAGGCCUUAGGGUUGUAAAGCUAUUUCAGUGGGGAAGAUAAUGACGGUACCAACAGAAGAAGCCCCGGCUAACUCCGUGCCAGCAACCGCGGUAAUACGAAGGGGGCUGCCGUUGUUCGGAUGUACUGGGCGUAAAGCGCACGUAGGCGGAUUGGUAAGUUAGGGGUGAAAUCCAGGAGCUCAACUCCGGAAAUGCCUUUAAUAAUGCCAGUCUAGAGACCGAGAAAGGUGAGUGGAACUCCUAGUGUAGAGGUGGAAUUCGUAGAUAUUAGGAAGAACACCAGUGGCGAAGGCGGCUCACUGGCUCGGUACUGACGCUGAGGUGCGAAAGCGUGGGGAGCAAACA